rnacentral:rRNA from 1 species
AGUGAACGCUGGCGGUAGGCCUAACACAUGCAAGUCGAACGGCAGCACAGUAAGAGCUUGCUCUUACGGGUGGCGAGUGGCGGACGGGUGAGGAAUACAUCGGAAUCUACUUUUUCGUGGGGGAUAACGUAGGGAAACUUACGCUAAUACCGCAUACGACCUACGGGUGAAAGCAGGGGAUCUUCGGACCUUGCGCGAUUGAAUGAGCCGAUGUCGGAUUAGCUAGUUGGCGGGGUAAAGGCCCACCAAGGCGACGAUCCGUAGCUGGUCUGAGAGGAUGAUCGGCCACACGGGAACUGAGACCCGGCCCAGACCCCUACGGGAGGCAGAGGGGGGGAAUAUUGGAAAAUGGGCGCAAGCCUGAUCCAGCCAUACCGCGGGGGUGAAGAAGGCCUUCGGGUUGUAAAGCCCUUUUGUGGGGAAAAAAAAGCAGCAGGUUAAUCCCCCGCUUUUCUGGCGGGACCCAAAGAAAAAGCACCGGCAAACUUCGG